rnacentral:rRNA from 1 species
GUUUCCUACGGGACGCAGCAGUGGGGGAUAUUGCACAAUGGGGGCAACCCUGAUGCAGCGACGCCGCGUGAGCGAUGGAGUACUUCGGUAUGUAAAGCCCUAUCAGCAGGGAAGAACAAUGACGGUACCUGACUAAGAAGCACCGGCUAAAUACGUGCCAGCAGCCGCGGUAAUACGUAUGGUGCAAGCGUUAUCCGGAUUUAUUGGGUUUAAAGGGUGCGUAGGCGGAAUGCCAAGUCAGCGGUAAAAUCGCGGGGCUCAACCUCGCUCCGCCGUUGAAACUGGCGUUCUUGAGUGGGCGAGAA